ensembl:lncRNA
GGGAGAGAGUAGAGUGGUGUUUAGUCCGUACGUGGAAAAACAUAGUCGUGCAUGCACAGACUAGCGGGGAUUAUCUAUCUGUUCUAAAUCUGAUAGAGAAAUGCAGGCAUGAAUAGGAAGUGGAUCUGGAUGUGUAGUGUCCUAGUGCAAGCACAUGCCGGUGAUGGACUACAGACGCACAGACGCUAACCUGGCUUUCUCUGCAGAAGUGUCACCUUAAUCUAGACCACGUCCGCAGAAUGCUGAGUCCUAUUGUUCCCUAUACGAGCAGCCCGAGGAGCCGCUUUAACCCGACUCUUCGGCUCACCUCCUCUCCGCUUUAUCGGUGUGACAGCUACAUGAAAAGAGGGAGAGAAAUCAAACCGCCACACCAUACCGUCAAUUGGAGAUGUAAUUACAUAAUAAUGAACGGAGGCCUUUUUAUGCAUGAAUGGGAUUGUGUGUGUGUCUGUGUGUGUGUGUGUGUGUGUGUGUGUGUGUGUGUGUGUGUUGCAGCAGGCAAAUGGCUGUUCGUCCUGCUCACUUUAUGUUGUUUAAAUACUUUUACACCUAUAUUCACUUGCUGUUGAUUGAUACAGACGAGAAUUGUGUUAUGCAUUAAAAGAAGGACGGUGUCAGGUGUGGUACAUGUUGCAAUUAUCAGUCCUGAUGAUCUCACUUUUGUUCUUAAAGUUAGCGAGGCAGUAGUUGCUCAGAGCAUCUUUUGUGCUGGAAUUUACUUACCGGCUUAAGCCCAGACUUGUCAAUUUAGUCAUUCUGAUAGACGGAUCCUUACUGAACAGUUCUUGACAGGCCACAUUUUUGCCUUGCCCAGAAUGACAUAAUUGCAAUGGAAGCUUUCUUUUUUUCUCCUUUGGUUCUAUAAUGAGCUCAAUUGAGCAAGCUUUUUGCAUCAUUAUAAUGCAGUAAACACAGCAUGAAGCCAUAUAUUUACUCAAUAAACUCUCACUUUGUACUUCACAAGCCCUCUCAGUUUGGGUAUUGAUUUUCGAGAAUGUCACGAAGACUUGGUGGAAUAUCUUGCAUUCCUCAGAGACGCAUCAUAUUUGAGCCUUUGAGCCCGCUCUGAAGUGACCAGUGCAUUUGGACAGAGCCUGCUCAUUGUGUGUUACUGCUCUUUGUUGGCGUUGGCUGAUGAGAACAGGAUGUUCUUCUGAGUGUGUGCGUGUGUUUGUGUUCUUGAGCAUGUAGUGUGAAUGUUAGGACUGCACAUGUGGGUGUUAGAUAUCCCUCAUGUUUAUGCUCUAACCACUUAAACACACGCAGAUUCCUUCCCCAAGACAUUAGCCUAAGACUUAACGGCCAUUUAUCUUUUACAUGUCCUGAUACGUUCUGCUUAGAUUCUCUUUCUCAGAUUUACUCAAUGGUGUACAAGAACUGUACAAUGUGAGGAUAUGAUAUUAAUAUCCCGAUAGUUUACAUAUAGUUUUAUUGUAGGUGACUGCAUAUGAAAAGCAGUUUUUGGGUUCUAGUUUUGUCUUCUCUCCUGUGUUAUUUUAUUUUUAAUUACCACAGACAAGAAUUUCUACACAUUUAGAUAUCCUGAAAACCUGUUUCAUCAGAAAUCACUUAUAAUGCAGGUUUAAGAGCAGUUGUUGUGGCACUAAAUAAACUUCUGUGCAAAUUUUGUCAAGCAUGGUCAUGAAUUUUUCACUCCAAGAUAUUUGUAAAUGGAGCAAAUCUGUAUAAUUCAUCAUUUUAAAG